rnacentral:rRNA from 1 species
UACGUAGGUGGCAGGCGUUGUCCGGAAUUAUUGGGCGUAAAGCGCGCGCAGGCGGCCUCUUAAGUCUGAUGUGAGAGCCCCCCGGCUCAACCGGGGAGGGCCAUUGGAAACUGGGAGGCUUGAGUAUAGGAGAGAAGAGUGGAAUUCCACGUGUAGCGGUGAAAUGCGUAGAGAUGUAGAGGAACACCAGUGGCGAAGGCGACUCUUUGGCCUAUAACUGACGCUGAGGCGCGAAAGCGUGGGGAGCAAACAGG